GACUGAGAGCUCUUUCUUGAU
rnacentral:siRNA from 1 species